rnacentral:sRNA from 1 species
UUUUAGCCCCGGUAGUAACGGCAUCCUUUUCCUGCUUUCUUUAAGCAGGGAAAGAUAGAGUGGAUAACGGGAAAAGCU